UGUUCACUUGAUAUCUUCUAUUGCAGGUUUACUACAGCUUCAACCCAAUAUUCAUGCUCGCCGAGCCAUUGAUGUUGGCAUCUGUGUUUUUCUUCUUUUUCAUGGCUUGUGUAGCUUACCUGCACGUCGACCUUUCCAUUCGGAAGUGAAAAAGUAACACAUAUUGGGGAUUCUUAAAAGAUAGACUGAAUCUAAAAUCGGCUGUUGAGUUCCAUUAUCUAAGUCAGAGUGGCUGCUUGGCAAUUUAUGAUGUUGAUGAUGAUAGGAAAUUUCAAACGCUUAUGGAAGCCUUAGAUACUGUUCGACUUUGCAAAGAAGACCAAGACAAUGCGUUUGAAAUGCUUGCUGCAGUGUUGUGGCUGGGAAACAUAUCAUUUCAAGUAAUUGACAAUGAAAAUCAUGUAGAGGUGGUGGCUGAUGAAGGUAAGGUCUAUAUCUUGGUUUCUAGUUAUUUUUUAUUUAUAAAUAAAAUAAAAUUCAAUUCUGGUGGUUUUCCUUUCCUUAAUGUUGUUUCUACGUAAACUUUGAAUUUCUAUUAUUUUUUUUUACUAUCUUGGACAUUUGUAUUUGGUCAUGGGUGAGGGCAUUGGUUGUAUAUCUGCACUAUAGGAGCUACAUGUUAAUUUAUAUGGGUAAAAUACUAUCUAUUAAGCAUUUCAUACUGCAUAUAGAUUGAAAAUGUCACCAACAAGUUAUCUAUGAAGUAGAAUGAAUCAGGUGAUUUUUUUCUAUCACCCUUGCUUCAUGUCAUGGUAUCCUCCAGGUAGCUUGCCUAGUACAUCAUCGAGUACUGGUUCAACACAUGACACUACUGCUGGUAUGAAUUAUUUUAUUCAAUUGAAUUACUCCAUUAGAUUUCUCUGUUGAUGUGCU